rnacentral:rRNA from 1 species
GUGUCAGCAGCCGCGGUAAUACGGAGGGGGCUAGCGUUGUUCGGAAUUACUGGGCGUAAAGCGCGCGUAGGCGGUUUGCCAAGUCAGAGGUGAAAGCCCGGGGCUUAACCUCGGAAUUGCCUUUGAGACUGGCAGGCUUGAGUACGGGAGAGGUAAGUGGAAUUCCGAGUGUAGAGGUGAAAUUCGUAGAUAUUCGGAAGAACACCAGUGGCGAAGGCGGCUUACUGGACCGUUACUGACGCUGAGGCGCGAAAGCGUGGGGAGCAAACAGGAUUAGAUACCCUGGUAGUCCACGCCGUAAACGAUGGGUGCUAGAUGUUGGGGGCCUUUGGCUUCCGGUGUCGCAGCUAACGCGUUAAGCACCCCGCCUGGGGAGUACGGCCGCAAGGUUAAAACUUAAAUGAAUUGACGGGG